rnacentral:lncRNA from 1 species
CAGCAUUUUCUCCUGCGUUGUCUCCUUUUUCUGUCUUAAGCCAGUGUUGUAAAGACGAAAGUAUACUAUGUUGAUGUUGAUGCCAUGGCCACACGGCUGCACUUUGUGUCAGUCUUUGCAGGCGCUGGCGAUAGACAUCUCGAUCGAGGUAGGCUAAAUUACCAUAGUGAUUGAUGUCAAGCACGUUGAAUGACAUGCGUUUGAGAUAUCGGUCAUAAGUGUCGCGCCUCAUGUUGGCACCAGUCCUACCAAUAUUGAAAUUUCGGUUUACCUCAGGUACAAUGCAUUCCCUACCCUUGCUAGUCGUAUUCAGACGCAUCCAGUGAUCCCAAUGCUCUUUAGGCCAAAUGCUUCCGAUUUCAUUCCACAAUUCGCGACGCAUCAUCCAUCCGAGCCCUGGGAAAUAAGAAGUUCGAAAAAGUCGCAAGGGGUCUCGAGCAUGACUCGCAAGACCAUUGUCAUUCCACGUGGAGAUACACCAAAGGCUCUC